rnacentral:other from 1 species
CUCUCCCUGCCGGGUUCGUGAUGUGUUGUGAAAUCCGAGCCUACCUUUCAACCGGGGAGGCUUCACUGGGAUGCCAUGUGCAUGCCCCUUUGCAGGGGAAGCCUACGGCACCUCACAGGCCGCCCACCUGAGCAAUCAGGGUUCGGUUGAAGCGACCCACACGGCCCAGGCGGGGUUUUU